ACCAGAGCUGUCCCUCUCUCGGCUUGCACUAAGGAGGAGGUCACGUGAGCACACAGUGAGAAGGCGGAGGACCAUCUGCAAGCAGGAAGAGAGCCCUCGCUAGAACCCCCCACGGUGGCAUCUGAUAGUGGACUUCUAGCUUCCAGAACUGAACUCAUAAAUGUCACAUCAGGCUGCCUCUUGGUGAAUUUUUAAUCAACGGGGAGAAUUUCAGCUACAAAUAGACCAAGAAUCAAGAGGCCCACUAUUGAUCGGUCAAAGUGGCACUUAUGAACCUGAGGUUGAAGCAGUUUGGAUAAAAGGAUUCUGGGCUUUCGAUGGCCCCAGAGACAUCUUUUUCCAUCAAGUCCAGGCUUGCUGAUCGGUACAGCUGAGAACAUGUUGAAUUUGAUGUGCCUGUGGAUAUUUGAGUCUGGAACAUUGAAGACAAGUUUGGUCUGGAGAUGUAGACUGGGGAUAUCUCAGCACACAGAUGAUAACUGAAAUGAUGGAGCGGAUGAUAUAAACUGGAGAGAGUCUGGUGUGGGAAGAGUCUUCCCUGAGGUGGCCGAAAGAUGUAAUUCUUACUCCAAAGACUGAAAUAGAGACAAGAGAAGCUGAAGUUACAGGGUUUUGUCAUUGGGAAGACAGUAGAGUGUGUCAUAUCCCAAGAGUGAAGCAAGGACAAACCAAAGAACAACUGGGAAGAUCUGGGAGAAAAAGGGGUCUUACUUUGUUGCCAAGGCUGGCUUCAAACUCCUGACUUCAAGAGAUCCUCCCACCCCACCCACCCAAAGUGCUGGGAUUACAGGUGUGCGCCACUGUGCCUAGCGGGUCAUCAGUCUUUGAGAUGCUGUUGACAAAGCCAUUUGAUGAUAUCAAAGAAGGAAUGAAGCAUAAGGUUUUUUGGCCCCUCUGCUUGGGAUGCCACUUGCAGGCAGAACUCUCCACAGUUUUACCAUCCAGUGAAGAAUCACCUGUUUAUAGCCUGUGUAAAAUCAAUGAUGCUUCUUGGAAACAAGUCUAUUCUCAUAGACA
rnacentral:lncRNA from 1 species